CUGCCUGCUUUUCCCGGACGGAGGCGGCCAUCUUUUCUGUUUAUGCAGUGACGGGGCAAGAGAUGACGUGGCAGCCAAGUGCGGCUUGGUUGAGAGGCAGUGUGUAGUUCGAGGCAGAGGCAGUGUGUAGACACUAGUUCGGUGUGUAGUUCAGUGUGUAGACUUGACUCAAUGUGGGCAGAGUAAAACGUAUGGGCCGGGCUCAAUGUGGGCAGAGUAAAACGUAUGGGCCGGGCUCAAUGUGGGCAGAGUGAAACGUCUGGGCCGGGCUCAAUGUGGGCAGAGUGAAACGUCUGGGCCGGACUCAAUGUGGGCAGAGUGAAACGUCUGGGCCGGGCUAAAUGUGGCAGAGUCAAACGUCUGGGCCGGACUCAAUGUGGGCAGAGUGAAACGUCUGGGCCGGGCUCAAUGUGAGCGGGGUAAAACGUCUGGGCCGGGCUCAAUGUGGGCAGAGUGAAACGUCUGGGCCGGGCUAAAUGUGGCAGAGUCAAACGUCUGGGCCGGACUCAAUGUGGGCAGAGUGAAACGUCUGGGCCGGGCUCAAUGUGAGCGGGGUAAAACGUCUGGGCCGGGCUCAAUGUGGGCAGAGUGAAACGUCUGGGCCGGGCUCAAUGUGGGCGGAGUAAAACGUCUGGGCCGGGCUCAAUGUGGGCAGAGUGAAACGUCUGGGCCGGGCUCAAUGUGAGCGGAGUAAAACGUCUGGGCCGAGCUCAAUGUGGGCGGAGUCAAACGUGUUUAACCCGAACCUCACCAAGAUCACCCAAAUUUAGGGCCUACCAAAGCACGGUUUCUCAAACAACUGUGGGGUGUUUGUUUUGAUGUACACUCUGUACAUUGCAAUGGAAGCACAGUGUGAUUUCACUGAGGAAACAUGCAGAAAAUUAGGCGACGGUGGUGCCUCGUUCUCCUGCAGAACUUUCCCAUGCUGACCUGAGCCCUAGGACCAUGCCUCAGGACGACCUGGCA